GACGAACGCUGGCGGCGUGCUUAACACAUGCAAGUCGAACGGAAAGGCCCUGCUUUUGUGGGGUGCUCGAGUGGCGAACGGGUGAGUAACACGUGAGUAACCUGCCCUUGACUUUGGGAUAACUUCAGGAAACUGGGGCUAAUACCGGAUAGGAGCUCCUGCUGCAUGGUGGGGGUUGGAAAGUUUCGGCGGUUGGGGAUGGACUCGCGGCUUAUCAGCUUGUUGGUGGGGUAGUGGCUUACCAAGGCUUUGACGGGUAGCCGGCCUGAGAGGGUGACCGGCCACAUUGGGACUGAGAUACGGCCCAGACUCCUACGGGAGACAGCAGUGGGGAAUAUUGCACAAUGGGCGGAAGCCUGAUGCAGCAACGCCGCGUGCGGGAUGACGGCCUUCGGGUUGUGAACCGCUUUCGCCUGUGACGAAGCGUGAGUGACGGUAAUGGGUAAAGAAGCACCGGCUAACUACGUG
rnacentral:rRNA from 1 species